GAUGAACGCUGGCGGCGUGCCUAAUACAUGCAAGUCGAACGAACGGACGAGAAGCUUGCUUCUCUGAUGUUAGCGGCGGACGGGUGAGUAACACGUGGAUAACCUACCUAUAAGACUGGGAUAACUUCGGGAAACCGUAGCUAAUACCGGAUAAUAUUUUGAACCGCAUGGUUCAAAAGUGAAAGACGGUCUUGCUGUCACUUAUAGAUGGAUCCGCGCUGCAUUAGCUAGUUGGUAAGGUAACGGCUUACCAAGGCAACGAUGCAUAGCCGACCUGAGAGGGUGAUCGGCCACACUGGAACUGAGACACGGUCCAGACUCCUACGGGAGGCAGCAGUAGGGAAUCUUCCGCAAUGGGCGAAAGCCUGACGGAGCAACGCCGCGUGAGUGAUGAAGGUCUUCGGAUCGUAAAACUCUGUUAUUAGGGAAGAACAUAUGUGUAAGUAACUGUGCACAUCUUGACGGUACCUAAUCAGAAAGCCACGGCUAACUACGUG
rnacentral:rRNA from 1 species